rnacentral:rRNA from 1 species
UACGUAGGGACCAAGCGUUGUUCGGAUUUAUUGGGCGUAAAGGGCGCGUAGGCGGCCACGCACGUCCGUUGUGAAAUCGCCCGGCUCAACUGGGCGGGGUCGGCGGAUACGGCGUGGCUGGAGCAAGCUAGGGGGCAAUGGAAUUCCCGGUGUAGUGGUGGAAUGCGUAGAUAUCGGGAGGAACACCCGUAGCGAAGGCGGCACUCUGGGCCGGUACUGACGCUGAGGAGCGAAAGCGUGGGGAGCAAACAGG